rnacentral:lncRNA from 1 species
GCAAGACGAUGAGGGAGAACGAGGAGAGCAUGUAUGGAAAGAAGAUGGAUGGAUGGGUAGAUAGAGAGGUAGGUAGACAGGCAGCCCAGUCAGAAAGAAGCAGAGAGGGAAUGAGCGCAGAUAAACAGAAACUGAAAAUAGUGAGGUGCAGAGUCUCUGCUGUGUGCUGUAAUGACGCCGGUGGGAGGUGAUUACCGCGGAGAGAAUGAAACCCAGGUCGUCCCUGCUUAUCAGCAGAAAGCCUCAUACAUAUACUGUAUGUCAGAGCUUUCUGGAAAAUUUCUGAAAUGAAGAAGCGGUUGUACUGCAUGAGAAAAGAUGAUUUACAUUUUUAUUUACAUUUUGUCAAAGUUAUAGCUCUAAACUUUCUUCUGAGAGGGGGGCUGGCAUAGAAGCUCUACAGGUGUAUCCAAAAAUAAUUCGUUUUGGGUUGUUUCUCAUCUUUCCCUCCAUAGAUUUAUCUGUGAGUGAAGGUCCUUUCACACGGGGACCAUUUUUUGUUGUGCGAUUAUUUCGGAUGUCAAUAUUUUUUUUCGAAUCCGUAUCCUGUCAAUACAAGCGUUCACAUCAGCGACGUUUUCCCGUCCUGCGAUAUUGCGGCAUUUAUUUUUUCGUAUCACGAUCAAUUUUUCUAAAGUUUCGCAUACUCUGUGUCCACUUCUAACCAAUCAGGUAGCGUGUUGUUGCGACGUCAGAUUCACUGGUAUAUCCAACAUGGCCGACCGGCUGAUUGUUUACGUGUCAGAGAACAGAGCUUUUUGAUAAAAGACACAAAUAUUACAAAGAUAACGACCUGAAGGACAACUUGUGGAGAGUCAUAGCGUCGGAUUUCUCACAUGACGAUGGUUUGUGUUCUUUAACAGUUUGCUAAACGUCUUUCUUUAACUUUCAUCUGUGCUAAGUAACUUUAGCAUGUGAGCUAACCUGUUCAGAUACAACAUACCACAUGUAUUGUUACGUUUUGACAUUUUAUUAUGACGUUUCCAGCUUUUCUAGACAAUCAGAGGUGAAGAAGGUGGGACUUUCCCGAGGAUUUUGUAAUUUCGUGUUCUAUAUUUGCGUCGGCCCCGGUGUGUAGGGAACUUGAGUUGGUUGGCUAAUCAACUACAAUAAUAUCAUAUUCAGUAAACCAUUUAAGCCUAUAAACAGGCCCCAAAAGUACUGGAUAGAAAACCUAAUAUGUACCAUCACUGUCUGAUACUGAAGAAAUUUGAGCGACUAGUUUUGACAACAUAAUAAAAUGCAGACUUCCAACAAACUUCCAACAGACUCAAGUGAGAUGCAGUGGGUCUCCAGUUGGAUGGCUAAAAUUUUUAUUCUCUCUCUGGACUGUUUGAUGACAACAAGAAUAUCUAAGAUAACAUGGUGGUGGAAGGCAAUUUAACUGAGGUUUGCAUUUGUGCAAAAAUCUGAACAACAGCCAAAUUGGACCAGAAUCCCUCCUGAGGGUUUCUGUGAUCAAACAUACUAGUCACUUAGUAAGAGAGAUAAGAGGAUUAAUAUCAGUCAAGUGUAGGUAAUGUGACAGCCAUGGUGGGAUAUUUUACAUGCUACAUUUGCAAGAUACAGUGAUUCGGUUUUUCUAGGCAAGACACAAGUUUCUGACUGUGACUCACUCUGAAGACAUCUGAGAACCAUCAAUGAGCUAUUUGGUGUCAUGUAACAGGAAAAACAGGAGUUGAUUGGAAGGGAGGAUGUUUAUUUGUUUAUGCAGACCACCUACAGGAGGAAUUGAAAUGAAUCUGAGAGAUCAAAAUCAGCUGCUUAUGAUUAUAACAGCUGUGUUUGCGGUGAAUUUGCAUUCAGUUCUCUCUCAAAACAACAACAAAAGCACAGGUUAUUUCUGUUGGGUUAUAUUUCGGGGUUAUAUUUCAGAGCCAUAAACAUUUAUUGGGUUAUAGGGAUUUUAUUUUAACCCAAUUUGUGUUUUUUUUCCAACUUGGUUAAUAUUUAUGGGUUAUUUUUCUGAGAGUAAUCAUGAAAUUAGGUAAGAAUUUAAACCGUAUUGCAAUAUUUGCCACAAAAAAAAAAAAUAAAAAUAAUCAAAUUCAAAUGGAUUUUGGUAGCAUGUAUGACUGAGUCCCAUGGUAGACACAUACUGCGAUUUAAACGACAAAAUGUUGUCUAUUGUGCAUAAGUCUGAUAAUGGCACCAUGAGUCAAAAAGUUGGAUCAGACGUUACUAUCUAGAGCACAUUGGCCCUCAGUUUAUCCUCUUCCUACAUCGUGCAGCCCUCCGCGUAGCCUCGGCGCAGGGUUGAAUGAAGCACUGACUCCGACUCUAGAAGUGAAUGCUUUGUGACUGUAGAAGCUCCUAAACUGCACAGAAAGCCUUCAUAGGCAACUUGUAACAUCGGAGCAGCCACCUUAACAACAGCUGAUGUAGCACUGACACGUGAUUGGUGGACCGAGACACUGACAAAUCUUCUGCGUCGUCUGCAUUUUGCAUUUAGUGAUUGAAAAUCCCACCACUUAUUUAGACAGAAGUAGAUGGUAAACCGCAGCUCCACAUAGACUUAAUUUAACCCAAGAUUAGGAGUUGAAUAAACUUAAAGGUUGGGUUAACUUGACCCUUAAAGUGGGUUAUUGAUUCAACCCAAAACUUGGGUUAAUUUGAAUAACCCAACAAGUCGUCAGUCCCUUUUGAACCCUGUAGUUGGGUUAAAAAUACCCCAAGUUGGGUUGUUAUUAACCCAGGGGUCUUUAGUGCAUCGUUAAAAUCAAACUGUGGUUCAGGCUCCUGAGGACAUCAGACAUGUUCACAAGCUGGAUGAUUAAAUAGGAUAACCAAACGUCCUCUUUUAACCGAACAUGUCCUCUUUCUGGGGGGCUGUCUGGCCUGUCCACCCCUGUAAGGGGUUUUAUAUGAAAGUCUUGAGUUUGUGUCGCAUGGACUUACUGAGUUAGAAGCGGGUAAAAAACACUCGGCCCUACCCGAAAAGCUCUCAAAAUUUACCGUGCGCGACAUAGUGACUCCUCCCAGCGGUGGUGUCCCCUUUUUGGGGAUUCAGAAUAUGGUUACCCUAGAUUGAACUUGUUUAUUUUGGGCCCAAAAUCCUAUGAUAGGGCCGGUAUUAAGAUGAUUAAGAUGACUUUGUAGCCUGCCUGAACUAACACCAAUUUCUAUAAAAACACUAAUAGGAGUUUUUAUCACAUUGGUUGUUAUACUUUGUACUGCUGAUUGAGCCCCACAUGUUCUCAAGGCAACAAGAAGGAAAAACCACACAUCUAUAAUCUGUGCUUUUCACUCUUUUCCUUUUCUCAUCCUGUUGUCAUCCUCCCGUCCCAUUAUCUCUCUCACACCAUCUAUACCUGAGUCUCUCGUCUUUUGUUCUUGCUGCGUCUCUGUCUCACCCUGGAAGUCGAGCCUUUGAAAGCAGCUUCUCAAACACAAUCAAACGAUUUCUGACGAUCGCUGCCUGUUUCUACACACGUGUAUCUCCGCUGUAUGGUCCAGGUACCAUCAGUCUUUCUGCCCCCGUGAACAGCACUUGUUAUUCACAUUCUCAUUAUCUGUUCGUUUGAAGUGAUUCCACUGGGAAGGGAUUCCCUCUCUUCACAUUUCUAGGGUCAGAAUACAUCAAUCCCUUGUCAUGCCUGUUGGCUGUUUCCAGUUUUGCUUUCCUUUCACACAUGCAUGUACAUCUCUUUGUGUUGUUCACUUGUCAUUCAUAAUUUCUGUGGGUGGGCGGAUGUUUGGAUCCAGUUUAAUUUUACUAGGAAUCUUUUCCUCUUUGUGUUACUUUCUGGUAAGGUCUCUUGCUCUGGCAAUCUCUCUUUUCAACCCCUAAAAUCUCAUCUUUGAAAUUUUAGGUGUUGUUAUUCAUAGUUCUAACUUUGUGACCCUGACAGUUGGGAUAUUUUACUCAGUGUUUCAGUCCUAACUCAGUCAGUUGUCAAAUCACAACAAAAGAUAUCUCGAGACAGCCCAUGGUUCAAUAAGGUCCUCAGUAUUUUGGUAAAGGUUUUCAGUUGAGUCCAGCUCUGAUCGCUUAUUUUGGUAUUUUCUGUAGAAACAGUGAGGUGCCAAAACUUUUUUAAAAGUUCUUUGACAAGAAACAGACACACAGGUUUACCUGUUCAGCAGAAAGGUUACAGGGUUCGUAAGAUCCCGAAGCAUCCCCUAUCAUUUAAUCAUUGAUGUUGUUCCAUCUUUUUAGCUCUUGUCCGGGUGGUCUACCUCCUUUCGAGUGCCCGUUAUUCAGCCAGAGUUUCUGGUAUUUACUUUGUUUUCUUGCUUGUGUUGCAGUCGUGGCCAAAGGAGGAUUCAGACAAUUUCCUUUACUGUCUGGUUGGUUUCUACAGUCCGAUAUUGUAGCACGCUAACUUUGCUUGGGCUCGUGAAUGACACGGGGGAGCAGAGUCUAUCUCACAACCAAUCAAGUUGGGGGAGGCGGAGAAUGGCUUUGUUUACAGUCAGAAAGAGUGUGCCACUCAAAAAAUGUAAAAUGUUGACUACACAGACAUAACGGAACCAAAUGUCACCAAUAACUAAUAACUAUUGACCGAUAUUAAAAGCUUUUUUGUAUAUACACCACAAAAAAAGAUGCUUCCUGCUUACACCACCUUUAACUGCCCGUGGAAAAAAUGACUGAAGGCUCUUUUCAGCCUAUGAAAAAUGAGACUAUGACCAUACUCUGGUGUUGACCCACUUAGCUUUGCCAACUAAGUUUAUAUGGUGAUCAAGCAAAUUACGAGUUAGCUUCACAACACAGAAAACUUAAACUUUCAAAGCUAUAGAUCCCAUUUCCCCUUUAAAUCUGGCUUUGUGUUUCACCCCCUGACCUUUUUUUUUAUUGUUUAUUUAUUUUGGUCUUUCAAUUGAUCAAAAGCAGGACAUGAGGUUGUCCAAAAAUGGGACAUUUGUGAGGGACACAAGACACCAGCACUGUCCCACUGAACCCGGAACAACAUGGUCAAUCUAAUCUGUAUUUAUCUCUAAUAUAUGAUUCUGUGUUUUGCAUGGCCCCUGGUUCAUCCUGCUCACAGGUUUUUCUCCAUUUUUGAGCCCGUGGAAAUGCUGUCUCAGCUUAGCUAUUUGUAAAGCACCUGCUGACAAGACGGUAAAUCCAAGAGCAUUACACGGCAUCUAAAAAGCAGUGAGAGAGACAUUUGGGAAACAUAACGGGAUAAAUAACAGACACAUAACACAAGCUAAGCCACAUAACAUAAGCUAAUCUUCUCAAGACUCAAGCACUUCCCUCAAUGCAAAGGCAGCACAGUGGUAUCCAUUGCUUGUCUAAAUUUGAAAAAGAAGCUUUUAGGAAGUGCGAAUGCUCCUUUGAGAAGAAGAUGCUGCUCAUUCGAUUUUAGUUUUAACUCAAGAAGUCUGUUCCUGUCUGGUGCAAAGACGACGCUUCUUUCAGGUGCUGUAUCUUUGAGGUAAAAACUUCCCUCAAGUUUUUAGUUUAAAUGAUUUCUGUACUUUUAUUCCUUGUUGCAGAUCAGCGAACCAGCAUCACAAGCACUGAUCACUGCUAAGCUUUAUCCUAUUAACUCUAUCUCUUUCUCACUGUCUGUCAUCUUGUCUUCAUCUGUCUCAUAUCUUCUCAUUCUUUCACCUACCAUCUAAUUAUCCCGUCCUCUGUUUGUGAUUGCUGUCUCCUUACAGGCAGAGCCGCGAGCGGGCGUGAACGCUUUCUCUCGUGUGGGUAGGAGCUGGAUACUGGCGAGCUUGCUUUUGUCUGUGUGCGAAGAUAAUCGAGGGAAUGGUGGAGUCUCUCCGUACAAUACCUGAGUGGAUUAAACAAGUUCAGCCAGCUGAUCUCUCACUCUCUAACACACACACACUCCGGUACACACAAAGCAU